CCAGGGAGCUGAAGGUGCCGUCCUUCCUCCCCAGCGGCAGUGUGUGUCCUUAAGAGAGGAAACAGUUGGUCCCUCUCCCCAGCAGUCCAGUGAAUUACAGGGAGACAAAGUUUCUGUCUUUCCUCCCCAGCGGCAGUAUGAGUUCUUGGGAGAGGAGACAGUCGGUCCCUCUCCCCAGCAGUCAAGCGAGUCCCAGGGAGCCGAAGGUGCCAUCCUUCCUCCCCAGCAGCAGUGUGUCCGGCAGGGAGCAGAGACAAUCGGUCUCGCUCCCCAGCAGCGGGACAAUAUAUUGAAAGGGG